rnacentral:rRNA from 1 species
CAAGGCGACGAUCAGUAGCUGGUCUGAGAGGACGACCAGCCACACUGGGACUGAGACACGGCCCAGACUCCUACGGGAGGCAGCAGUGGGGAAUUUUGGACAAUGGGCGCAAGCCUGAUCCAGCCAUGCCGCGUGCGGGAAGAAGGCCUUCGGGUUGUAAACCGCUUUUGGCAGGAACGAAACGGCGCGAGCGAAUAUCUCGCGUUAAUGACGGUACCUGCAGAAUAAGCACCGGCUAACUACGUGCCAGCAGCCGCGGUAAUACGUAGGGUGCAAGCGUUAAUCGGAAUUACUGGGCGUAAAGCGUACGCAGGCGGCUUUGCAAGACAGGUGUGAAAUCCCCGGGCCUAACCUGGGAACUGCAUUUGUGACUGCAUGGCUAGAGUUUGUCAGAGGGGGUGGAAUUCCACGUGUAGCAGUGAAAUGCGUAGAUAUGUGGAGGAACACCGAUGGCGAAGGCAGCCCCCUGGGAUGUGACUGACGCUCAUGUACGAAAGCGUGGGGAGCAAACAGGAUAAGAUACCCUGGUAGUCCACGCCCUAAACGAUGUCGACUAGUUGUCGGAGGGUAACUCCUUCGGUAACGCAGCUAACGCGUGAAGUCGACCGCCUGGGGAGUACGGUCGCAAGAUUAAAACUCAAAGGAAUUGACGG